AACAUUUGUGCCUCUAACCUCAACCUUAUUCAAGUCACUUACACCAUCUGCUUUACCAUUGAGAAUAUCUUCAACCAGUUUUCCAAUGACAACUUCAGUUUCAUCAACAUUAAUUACAACCUUAGUUAUGUUGUCAGUUUCAUCCUCUAUAUGUCCAUCAUAAUAAUCAGGUUGAGAAACUGAAUGUUGCACAUACAAAUGAACACUCUUAUGUACCAUACAUAAAUCAACUAUCUCUUGGGUCCCUUUAUCAUCAGUCAAAGUAAACAAACCAAUUGUUGGAUCCUUGUAUAUUACUGUUCCAGAUUCCUCAUAUCCCAGUUCU
rnacentral:lncRNA from 1 species